rnacentral:rRNA from 1 species
GACGAACGCUGGCGGCAGGCCUAACACAUGCAAGUCGAGCGAGCGGCGGACGGGUGAGUAAUGUCUGGGAAACUGCCUGUUGGCGGGGGAUAACUCCUGGAAACGGUGGCUAAUAACCCAUAACAUCAGAUGUGCCCACAUGGGGUUAGCUAGUAGGUGGGGUAAUGGCCCACCUAGGCGACGAUCCCUAGCUGGUCUGAGAGGAUGACCAGCGACACUGGAACUGAGACACGGUCCUGAGUCCUAGGGGAGGCAGCAGUGGGGAAUAUGGCACAAUGGGGGCGAGCCUGAUGCAGCCAGGGCGCGUGUGUGAAGAAGGCCUUCGGGUUGUAAAGCACGUUCAGCGGGGAGGCGUUACCCGCAGAAGAAGCACCGGCUAACUCCGUGCCAGCAGCCGCGGUAAUAC